CCUACGGGAGGCAGCAGUGAGGAAUAUUGGUCAAUGGACGCAAGUCUGAACCAGCCAUGCCGCGUGCAGGAAGACGGCUCUAUGAGUUGUAAACUGCUUUUGUACGAGGGUAAAUCCCGAUACGUGUAUGUUGUUGUAUGUAUCGUACGUAUACGGAUCGGCUAACUCCGUGCCAGCAGCCGCGGUAAUACGGAGGAUGCGAGCGUUGUCCGGAUUUGUUGGGUUUAAAGGGUUCGCAGGCGGUCUUGUAAGUCAGCGGUGAAAUCCCGGGGCUCAACCCCGGCCGCGCCGUGGAAACUGGCAGUCUCGAGUGGGAGAGAGGUAUGCGGAACGCGCGGUGUAGCGGUGAAAUGCAUAGAUAUCGCGCAGAACUCCGAUUGCGAAGGCAGCACGCCGG
rnacentral:rRNA from 1 species